CGUCGUGUCCCGGCCUCCAGCGGCGGCGGCAGUGACGGCGGCGGCGGCAGCGGGAGGCGGCGGGGGGAGCGGGAGCCACUGAGAUGAGGAGGCGCCGCGCGCGCCUGUAGCUCGCGGGCCUCUCAGAGAAUGUCAAUCUGGACAGAGAUCAAGGCAGAGGAUACAUACUGCUUUCUACAAUAGGAAUUAUAAAACUUAGGUGCACGUUGAGUAAGAUGUUGUGGUGGAGACAUAGCUAGUUUGUUUGCCUAAUCUGGACUUGAAGCAAUUCAACUACUAGAAAUCUGCCAUUUUACAGUAUCACAAUUGGGAAGAAGCAGGUUUUCAAAUAAUGGAAGAGUCUAAGACCUCUAAAAAUGAAAAUCAUGAACCAAAGAAGAAUGCUUGGGCUCUUUCUGAAGAAAGCAAAGCAGUUAAAGUUAUAUCUAAUCAAACUUUGAAAGCUAGAAAUGAUAAAUCCAUAAAAGAAAUUGGGACCAGCUCUCCAAGUAGGAAUAGUAGUAAAAAAAAUAAGCAAAAUGAUAUUUGUAUAGAAAAGACAGAAGUUAAAUCAUGUAAAGUAAAUGCUGCCAACAUAGCAAGUCCUAAAGAUUUGGGAUUAGUCCUUCGAGAUCAAAGUCAUUGCAAAACAAAAAAAUCACCUAAUUCACCGGUAAAAGCAGAGAAGGUACCUGUUUCACAGGCAAAAGCAGAAAAGUCACCAAAGUCAUCUAAUUCACCAGUGAAAACAGAAAAGACAUCCAGCUCCCAGGCAAUAGCAGCAGAAAAGGCACUUAGUUCACAGAGGAAAACAGAAAAAGUACCCAUUGCUCAGAUGAAAUCAGAAAAGGUCCCUGGUUCGCUAACAGAACCAGAGAAGGCACCCAGUUUACCUUUAAAAGAAAACAUGCGACAGAUAGAAUUACAGCAGAUUGGAAGAAAAAUUCCAAGUUCCUUUACUUCUCUGGACAAAGUGAAUAUUGAUGUUAUAGAGGGAGAAAAAUCUGCUUUGGAAAACUCACCACGAUCUCAGAAGCAACAAGCAUGUACAGAUAAUACUGGUGAUUCUGAUGAUAGUGCUUCGGGAAUUGAAGACAUAUCAGAUGAUUUGAGUAAAAUGAAGAAUGAUGAAUCUAAUAAAGAAAAUUCUUCAGAGAUGGACUAUUUAGAAAAUGCUACUGUGAUAGAUGAAUCUGCAUUGACACCUGAGCAGAGGCUAGGCUUGAAACAAGCAGAAGAACGCUUAGAAAGAGAUCACAUCUUUCGACUUGAAAAACGCUCACCAGAAUAUACCAAUUGCCGAUAUCUAUGCAAACUUUGCUUAAUUCACAUUGAAAACAUCCAGGGAGCUCAUAAACAUAUAAAGGAGAAACGACAUAAGAAAAAUAUUUUGGAAAAACAGGAAGAAAGUGAGCUUCGUUCUCUGCCACCUCCUUCCCCUGCCCACUUGGCUGCUUUAAGUGUUGCAGUUAUUGAAUUAGCAAAAGAACACGGAAUAACAGAUGAUGACCUCAGAGUCCGUCAGGAAAUUGUGGAGGAAAUGUCAAAGGUUAUAACAACAUUUUUACCAGAGUGUUCACUUAGGUUGUAUGGCUCAUCUCUGACUAAGUUUGCUCUGAAAAGUAGUGAUGUUAAUAUAGAUAUAAAAUUUCCUCCCAGGAUGAAUCAUCCAGAUCUUCUGAUACAAGUGCUUGGGAUUUUAAAAAAAAGUGUAUUAUAUAUAGAUGUGGAAUCUGAUUUUCAUGCCAAAGUUCCUGUUGUGGUGUGCAAAGAUCGGAAAAGUGGUUUACUUUGUAGAGUGAGUGCAGGAAAUGAUAUGGCAUGCCUCACUACUGAUUUACUUGCUGCUCUUGGCAAGACGGAACCUGUUUUUACUCCUUUGGUGUUAGCCUUUCGCUACUGGGCUAAGUUAUGCUAUAUUGACUCCCAAACUGAUGGCGGAAUCCCUUCUUACUGUUUUGCUUUAAUGGUGAUGUUUUUUCUACAACAAAGAAAACCCCCUCUUCUUCCUUGCUUACUUGGAAGUUGGAUUGAAGGCUUUGACCCAAAAAGAAUGGAUGACUUUCAGCUGAAGGGCAUAGUAGAAGAGAAGUUUGUGAAGUGGGAAUAUAAUUCAAGUAGUGCAACUGAGAAAAACUCAAUUGCUGAGGAAAACAAAGCUAAGGCAGACCAACCAAAAGAUGAUACCAAGAAGACAGAAACAGACAACCAAAGUAAUGCCAUGAAGGAAAAACAUGGCAAAUCUCCUUUAACAUUGGGAACACCAAAUCAGGUAUCCCUGGGACAAUUAUGGUUAGAGCUGCUAAAAUUUUACACACUGGAUUUUGCUUUGGAAGAAUAUGUCAUAUGUGUACGGAUACAAGAUAUUUUAACAAGAGAAAACAAAAACUGGCCUAAAAGGCGAAUAGCCAUUGAAGAUCCAUUUUCAGUUAAGAGGAAUGUUGCACGGAGCUUAAACAGCCAGCUUGUUUAUGAAUACGUUGUGGAGAGAUUCAGGGCAGCUUAUCGGUAUUUUGCCUGUCCUCAGAGGAAGGGUGGAAAUAAAUCUACAGUGGAUUCCAUGAAAAAAGAGAAGGGAAAAAUAAGCAAUAAGAAACCAGUGAAGUCUGACAAUAUGGCAUCCAGUUGUUGCAUUCUACAUGGAGAAAGCACAGAAAAAAUAAAUGCAGAAAGAGGUCAACCUGAUAAAUAUGAUGAAAUGGAAUGUACAUCACAGAGAUGUAUUACUGAAGAUGACAGUUUGUUGGUAAAUGAGCUAGAUUUGGCUGAACUUGGACAGGAAUCUUCAUCUCUUUCUACCAGUGGAGGCAGUGAAUUAGAGCCAAAAUCAAUUAAGAAACAAGAUGAUUUAGCACCGUCAGAAACCUGUCUAAAAAAGGAACUCAGCCAGUGUAAUUGCAUUGGUUAUAAAUCCCCUGACCCAGAUGAAUCUUCUGGUACAGACUGCCAGUCAAAUAUAGAAACAGAGAGUUCACAUCAGAUUGUGAGCACUGACACAUCUGCUACCUCCUGCAACUGCAAAGCUACAGAAGAUGCUUCUGACUUUAAUGAUGAUGAUAACCACCCCACCCAGGAAUUAUAUUAUGUGUUUGAUAAGUUUAUUUUAACCUCUGGCAAGCCACCAACGAUAGUAUGCAGCAUCUGCAAAAAAGAUGGCCAUUCAAAAAAUGAUUGUCCAGAGGAUUUCAGGAAAAUUGAUCUAAAACCUCUACCACCAAUGACAAAUCGAUUUCGGGAAAUACUUGAUUUAGUAUGUAAAAGAUGUUUUGAUGAGUUAUCACCACCCUUUUCUGAACAACACAACAGGGAGCAAAUUUUAAUUGGCUUGGAAAAGUUUAUUCAAAAAGAAUAUGAUGAAAAGGCCAGAUUGUGCUUAUUUGGCUCUUCUAAGAAUGGAUUUGGAUUUCGUGAUAGUGAUCUGGAUAUUUGUAUGACCCUGGAAGGCCAUGAAAAUGCAGAGAAAUUAAACUGUAAGGAAAUAAUUGAAAAUUUGGCAAAAAUUCUUAAGAGACAUCCAGGUUUAAGAAACAUUUUGCCUAUAACUACUGCCAAAGUGCCUAUAGUAAAAUUUGAACAUAGACGAAGUGGUUUAGAAGGCGAUAUCAGUUUAUAUAAUACAUUGGCUCAACAUAACACAAGAAUGCUAGCUACUUAUGCAGCUAUUGAUCCUAGAGUACAAUACUUGGGAUAUACUAUGAAAGUGUUUGCAAAGCGAUGUGACAUUGGAGAUGCUUCCAGGGGAAGUUUAUCUUCAUAUGCUUAUAUCCUUAUGGUGCUGUACUUUCUGCAGCAGAGAAAACCACCUGUUAUCCCAGUUCUACAAGAGAUCUUUGAUGGAAAACAGAUUCCACAGCGAAUGGUUGAUGGAUGGAAUGCAUUUUUCUUUGAUAAAACAGAAGAGCUGAAAAAGCGUUUACCUUCACUUGGAAAGAAUACAGAAACGUUAGGAGAGCUUUGGUUGGGACUGCUUCGCUUCUAUACUGAAGAGUUUGAUUUCAAGGAAUAUGUAAUUAGCAUUCGGCAGAAAAAGCUGUUGACAACUUUUGAGAAACAGUGGACAUCCAAAUGCAUUGCAAUUGAAGAUCCUUUUGACUUGAAUCAUAACCUUGGUGCUGGAGUUUCUAGGAAAAUGACCAAUUUUAUCAUGAAGGCAUUUAUCAAUGGAAGGAAACUUUUUGGUACCCCCUUUUAUCCACUCAUUGGCAGAGAAGCUGAGUACUUCUUUGAUUCCAGAGUAUUAACAGAUGGAGAACUGGCUCCCAAUGAUCGAUGCUGUCGUGUGUGUGGAAAAAUAGGCCACUACAUGAAAGACUGCCCUAAAAGGAGAAGCAGUUUACUGUUUAGACUAAAGAAGAAAGACAGUGAAGAAGAGAAGGAUGGGAAUGAAGAGGAGAAAGACUCCCGAGACCUUCUUGAUCCCCGAGACCUCCAUGACACUCGAGAGUUUAGAGACCCCAGAGACCUCAGAUGCUUCAUAUGUGGAGAUGCUGGACAUGUACGAAGGGAGUGCCCAGAGGUCAAGCUGGCCCGUCAGAGGAAUAGCAGUGUGGCUGCAGCCCAGUUGGUCCGCAACCUCGUAAAUGCCCAACAAGUGGCUGGUUCAGCCCAGCAACAGGGUGAUCAGUCCGUAAGGACUAGACAGUCCUCAGAAUGUUCUGAUUCACCAUCUUACUCUCCUCAGCCCCAACCAUUUCCACAGAACUCAUCCCAGUCAGCUGCCAUUACCCAGUCUCCAUCCCAGCCAGGAUCCCAACCCAAGCUUGGCCCACCUCAGCAGGGAGCCCAGCCCCCACAUCAGGUCCAGAUGCCUAUGUAUAACUUUCCCCAGUCACCACCAGCUCAGUAUUCUCCCAUGCACAAUAUGGGACUGUUGCCAAUGCACCCUCUCCAGAUCCCUGCCCCGUCCUGGCCUAUUCACGGCCCAGUGAUCCACUCUGCACCAGGCAGUGCCCCCAGCAAUAUUGGCCUGAACGAUCCCAGCAUCAUCUUUGCACAGCCUGCUGCCAGACCUGUGGCGAUCCCUAACUCCUCUCAUGAUGGACACUGGCCUCGUACUGUGGCUCCAAAUUCCCUGGUGAACAAUGGUACAGUGGGAAAUUCGGAGCCAGGCUUUCCAGGACUAAAUCCUCCAAUUCCUUGGGAACAUGCACCACGUCCCCAUUUCCCUCUUGUCCCAGCUUCGUGGCCUUAUGGUUUGCAUCAAAACUUCAUGCAUCAGGGAAAUGCCAGAUUUCAGCCCAACAAACCGUUCUAUACUCAAGCUGGUCUACCGAUGCACAGCAACCAGCCAAUCCUGCUGUCUCAAGGGUAUCCGUACCUCAAUGUCAGUUACAUUCAGCAGAAAAAGUGACAUUUAAUGGAAAGCAAAACAAAUCAGAUAUGCAUUACUUAAAUAGGAGACUCUGGGCUUUUGCCAUAUUUUCCAACUUGGAAGAUGCUUGAAAUCUAUUGCAGGAGGUUGAGGGCUUUCCUGCCAUAUUUACAGCCCUGAAAAGGUCAUUAAGCCAGAAGACAUUUCUUUCCAUCCGGAUCACUUUGGUAAAGAACUAACUUCUAGGACUUCAAUAGAGGUGCUUAUAUUUAAUUCUUAAAGGCAGUCUUAUAUAUAGUUGUAUGAUGAAUAACAUUAGCUCUUAUGGAUGACUUUUAUCAGCUCAAGUAUUACCAGGUGAGGAAUCGUUGAAGAAUGUAAAAUCUCAAAUCUCCCAAAAUGCUUUAACAUUGCUGCAAAAGUCCUUCAGUUCAACAGCAAGCAAAAGAAUGUUAAUCCUGUGACCAGAUCUGGCUUCCCAAGAAACUAGAUCGUAUGAGGCAAUUGGUCUUCAGAAUUCUUGGUAGGUCCAGAGCUGUGGGAAGUCCAAUCACUUCCCCCCACCCCUCUUUUUUUCCACUGUUUCCUUUUUAAAGGAAAAAAGUUAAGUACUAGUAGAAUGAACUCUUCUAGCAAAGAUCUCAACACCUUCUUGAUUAUCAAUGCCCACGGACACUUUGCAGUUCUUAUUUUGCUUCUAAGUCCUCAAACCCUUAGCUUCUUUGAUAUACUGUCUCCUAAUUCUUCUACCUUUCUGAAAGUUCAUUUCCAUUUUCAGGUGGUUGACUGCAUUGCUUUCUCUCACCAGUGUUGAGUGUUGCCUACGCUUCUGUUGUUGGCUUUUCUUACAUAAACAUACACUUCCUGGGCAGCCCCCAUUUAAUUCUACAUCUUCCACAAUUACCUAAAUGUUGUCAAUUCAGGGUUAGAUCACUAUGCUCAACUCCAAUUCCUACUUCUAACAACCUGGGCUUUAUCUAGAUAUACCGUAGCAGUCUCUAUACUUUAAGUAAAAUUGAAUGCAUCAUUUUUACUACCAAAAGAACUUUCACCACCUGCCCCCUCUAAAGCUUGGCCUCUUCCUGCUGUACUUUCUAACUUUGUGAAUAAAUGGCACUAUUUGCCAGCAAAUGAAGUCAAAACCGUGAAUGGUAUUAGAUACUUAACUCUCCUUUUCAAUCUUAUAGGCCCACUGCUACCGACUAAACUUAGAAAAUAAUGACAGUCUUUUCAAGGUAAAGGCUGAGCACCAUAACCUAGAAUUCAAGGCUUAUGGGGAAGAAAAAACAUUAUAUAAGAAUGUUGUGUAAAAGGUGUUAAGUUCCAUUGUUGAACUGUUCAAUGCAACUGGAUUAAAUGAUCCAGAAGAAGUCUUAACAUUUGAAUACAUUCUGUUCUUACAAAGCUGCUGCUAACUCAUCAGUUUUCAUGUUUAUUACAUAGUGCUGAUGAAAAAAAGUCUGGGAGAGAAUAGGUUUUACUGACUUGACUUUUGAGUGUAACAGCAGCAGCACAAAUCUCAGGAUUCUCAGAACAGUUCUAAUCACGGAGCAAACCAAAACUAAACUACAGAAAUACGGAAAGUGGAUGUGUAAAAUUUAAUAAUAAAAGGGUCACCAUGCAGCCACAUCCUCUCCUUGUCAUUCAUCCUCUCCACCCCUCAAAUCCCUUACAAAGUUGAGUACAGUCAAGGUUGGUUGUACAGAGGGGUCGAAAGCAGCCCUUGGGAAGUGCUAUCCCUCAAAUGUGGAUUAUGAUUCAAAGAGCGAUACAAAACUCAGCACCUCUUUCAUUUAAAAAAAAAAAAAGUGGAGAAAC